UACGAAGGGGGCUAGCGUUGCUCGGAAUCACUGGGCGUAAAGGGUGCGUAGGCGGCUUGUUAAGUCAGGGGUGAAAUCCCACGGCCCAACCGUGGAACUGCCUUUGAUACUGGCGAGCUUGAGUGCGUGAGGGGUAACCGGAACGAGUAGUGUAGCGGUGAAAUGCGUAGAUAUUACUCGGAAGGCCAAAGGCGAAGGCAGGUUACUGGUACGCAACUGACGCUGAGGCACGAAAGCGUGGGGAGCAAACAGG
rnacentral:rRNA from 1 species